AUCACCAAAACACGGGACAGAUAAAAGCCCCUCCCUUACUGAUUCAGAAAACGACAUCAUCAGUAGGGACCGACAGGCUCGAAGCCGAGAGCCACGGACUGGACUGAGAACCCGAUCUUAUUAGGAGGGACUGACGCCUCCUAAUGACCCAUAAUCCUCAGCGAGGCUGACGGUGUGGACUUUCAGCCUUGAGUCUCAGUUUGGUCUGACGGUUUGAAGGGUGGAGUCCGCUGCCUGCCGCAAGCUGAGGAAAUGGGUUAACAGGAUUCAAUCACACACUGCAGCCAAUCCAAUUAUGUAGUUAGCCGGAGCUCAGGUGCACCUGGCAGCGGCCAGGGCAGCUCCUCGUCUGCGUUUGGUGGAAGGAAAACAUGAACUGGAGGGAAAGUCUGGUGGUUCGUCCAUGUGUGGAGCACAGCGAGACCCUGACUGAAGUCUUUCCUUCAAUAAACAGCCGACUUUAGGAAACACUCGGGGUUUAACUGUGACGGAGCUCGUUAAACAAACAGUUCAGCAGAUGAACUGAGUCUGUGGAUGUCAGAGCGGCCCAGAGGCCCCAACAGGCUAACAGUCCGUUUGUGGUGCAUCAGAGGAGUGCGAAUGUGCUUUCCACCAUCCUCAGACCUCAGAUCCAUUCAGUUCUUCCUGUCAAACGGCCUGAUUCACUGGGUCCAGUGGAAACCGAGUGUUUGUUACUGACCCACGUUUUGACCUGCUGUGACUGCUGGAAUGAUGUGGAAAUGAUGUGGAAAGUCUUUAUCUAAAGCUCACAAAGGAGCAGAGAGGGGAAGCUGCAGGUUGGUCUCAGAUCAACACGUUUCACAACGCGUCACAAUGUGAGGAAUUCCAGCUGACGCUUCCUGUUUGUUAUGUCGAACACGUGAAUGAAUCAGUUAGACGAAUUUGGUUUUGGAGGGAGAAAAGUUCUUUUAUUUACUUGUUGUAACUAUUUUGUGUUUAUUUUUAAUUUAAUAUUAUAUAUUCAUAAUAUCAUUUGUUUGAUUAUUGUUCUUUUGAACAUUAUUUUUCAUGGUUUUAUUCCUAAUUUUACACUUUUAGGUAUUUAUUGCCAUUAAAUGUUUGCACUGAU